rnacentral:rRNA from 1 species
UAACGCUAGCGGCAGGCCUAAUACAUGCAAGUCGAACGGUAACAUUGGUGCUUGCACCAGAUGACGAGUGGCGCACGGGUGAGUAACGCGUAUGCAAUCUACCUUUUACUAGAGUAUAGCCCAGAGAAAUUUGGAUUAAUCCUCUAUAAUAUCUUUAAGUUUCAUGACUUAUUGAUUAAAGUUUUAACGGUAAAAGAUGAGCAUGCGUCCUAUUAGUUUGUAGGUGAGGUAACGGCUCACCUAGACUACGAUAGGUAGGGGCCCUGAGAGGGGGAUCCCCCACACUGGUACUGAGACACGGACCAGACUCCUACGGGAGGCAGCAGUAAGGAAUAUUGGACAAUGGACGAAAGUCUGAUCCAGCCAUGCCGCGUGCAGGAUGAAAGCCCUAUGGGUUGUAAACUGCUUUUAUACAGGAAGAAACACUCGUACGUGUACGAGCUUGACGGUACUGUAAGAAUAAGGACCGGCUAACUCCGUGCCAGCAGCCGCGGUAAUACGGAGGGUCCGAGCGUUAUCCGGAAUCAUUGGGUUUAAAGGGUCCGCAGGCGGUCUUUUAAGUCAGAGGUGAAAGCCUACAGCUCAACUGUAGAACGGCCUUUGAUACUGAAAGACUUGAGUUAUUAUGAAGUGGUUAGAAUGUGUGGUGUAGCGGUGAAAUGCAUAGAUAUCACACAGAAUACCGAUUGCGAAGGCAGAUCACUAAUAAUAUACUGACGCUCAUGGACGAAAGCGUGGGGAGCGAACAGGAUUAGAUACCCUGUAGUCCACGCCGUAAACGAUGAUACUAGCUGUUCGUCU